UGCUGUGGGGGGAGGGGGUUGUUCAAGGGAUGGGGACGAUCAGGGUCUCUGGGAAGUGCUGACGUGUGCGCGUGUGCGGUGUGUUGCUUGUGGGUGCGUGUGUGGUGUGUGCAUGUGUGUGCGCGCGCGUGUGUGCGGGGUGUGCCGUGAGCGUGUGCCCGCGGUUCGGGGGAUGAGUAGGGGCGCUGACUUUUAGGACCAGCCAUUUGAGUCAAGCUGGAGACGACGUCUUAGAACCUAGGAUGAGUCUCGUUUGGUUUUAGUCUGCAAAGCUCGUCUGCAUCAGACAGGAAUUUUCCCCAGACGCGGGUGCACGUGAAUUAAUUCAUCAGAAGGCGGUUCACGGCCUGAGUGAGGGGGACGAGGGCGGCGAAUUCCUCCGCCUCAUUCCUACCCUGACGAUUCGAGAUGCUCGCUUCACCCCACUGAGAUGUAACUCAGUUUUGUGGGAUCCCACUGCCCUCCAGGUGCCGCUCCGAGUGCUCUACACAGAUUUUCAUUCAGUCCUUGCGGCACACGAAGGUAGGCGGCCCCACUGCCCUCACAGAGGCUUCCCAUGCAGGAGCCAGUGACUGGCGGAGCGCCGCUCACACUCAGGCUCCGCGAACUGCCUCCCUGCCCUCCCCUGCCCCGGACAGACGGUCCUCCAUAAGAGGCAGGAUUUCCCUGUGGUCCAAAGGUGUGUGUCCCUGCCACAUUGGGAGUUCAGCUCACUGCGGUCCUGUCCAGCUUGCCCCCGUCUCCCAUCCACAUCAGGAUCUGGCUUUGCCCCAGCUAUGUGGAAUGAGUGCAUGAACAAAUGAAUGGGUGGGUUGCUCCAUCUUGUGACAGGACAGCAAAGUCAGCUGGUUCUGCUCCUACGGCGCUCAGGGUCAGGUGAGACAGGCCGGCCCGCAGGCAGACAGGCCCUCAUCUCUGUAUUGGGGGUGGGGAAGGGGCUCUGGCAGGGCGCAUGCCCCAGCAGCAGGAACGUCAAGAGCAGAGGCCCUGGAGGAGACAGCCCGGAGCUGGCGCACAGUAAAGUCUUCAGAUAGGAGGGGCAGAGUGAGGGUGCCACCGUCGGGCAGCAGGUGCCCACCCAGAAGGGUCUUUGAGCCUUGCGGGGAAGUUCAGACUUUACCCUGAGGAUAAAGGAGGUCCUGGACCCGCAGGAGGAUGCCCUGGUGGGUCUAGAAGGAGCCCUGCCACUGGGGAGCUGGUGGGGUUUCCGCCCUCACGGUGCAAUCACAGGGUUGCCUGCUUAUCUCCCCCGCCCUUUUCCCAUCACUUCCUGAGACUCUGCAGAUGGUCAGCAGUGUUCCUGAGUGGAUGACAUUGGGUGGGCAGAGAGAGGGGAGGGCAGUCUGUGGUCCCAGUCAUGUAGAGCUUCCUUGUACAGUCUGUGGUCCCAGUCAUGUAGAGCUUCCUUGUACAGUCUGUUGAGCUCACAUACCCUCAAUGGCCCUUCACUCACAGGGAUGGCCUCUGCACUUCAGCUGGUUUCUGACACCUAAAAACAGAAGUGGAAAAGGGAGCAGACGCAGCCACAUUUUGAAAGCUGAUUCGGUUGCUUUCUGGCAGAAUCCCUGCCCCCAAGCACCUGCCAGGCCCACCCAUGAAGCCUCUUCCCACGCCUUAACUCUGCCCCAUGAGGGGACCUCAAGCAGUUGCAGUCUAGUCAGGUGAUUUGCAGAGCUCAGGGCUCAGGGAGGGGCACCCACCUCAGAAAAAAGCGCCGUGCUCAUGAGAAAUGACUUCUACAGGUUGUUGGGGAAAGAGGAGUUAUUUUAAAGAUCACAGAGCCCGUGAUGUGCCAGGCGCACCCACACAGGGCAUAUAGUCCCCGCAGCUGCCUCUGUGCUGGGGCCACGUCACCGUCCUGUCCUAAAGACAAGCAAUGUGAAGCCCAGAGAUGGUAUCUUAAAACAAUCGUGUGGUUUUUUUCUGAUUACAACAGCAAUUGUGUUAAUCCAACAAUAUUUUUCCUAUCAACUGUAAACCUUAUUUUAAUAUUUACAUAUUUAUUAGCAUUUAAAAUUCAAUCUCCUAGAAUAUUGACUUCAAUUAGUUUGGCUGAUUCUAAUUUUUUUUUUCUAAUUUGUUUAUCACUUAACUUUUUAAGUACUUUUUUUUUUUAGACAGAGUCUUGCUCUGUCACCCAGGCUGGAGUGCAGUGGUGCAAUCUCGGCUCACUGCAACCUCUGCCUCCUGGGCUCAAGCGAUUCUCCUGCCUCAACCUCCCGAGUAGCUGGGACUACAGGCUCACACCACCAUGCCCAGCUAAUUUUUAUAUUUUUAGUAGAGAUGGGGUUUCACCAUGUUGUCCAGGCUGGUCUCGAACUCCUGACCUCAAGUGAUCCCCCACCUCAGCCUCCCAAAGUGCUGGGAUUACAGGUGUGAGCCACCGUGCCUGGCCUGUUUUUAGUACUUUUAUCCUUUAUCUUUUUAACUACGUAAGUACUCAACAUUUUAAAUUAUUAAUCUUCACCAUGUUAUUUCCAAGAACAAUCACGAUUGAUCUUUCAGUUACACAGCCACGGUGUGUGCCUCUCUGUGUAACUCUGCACAGCUGGUGAUUUACUGAAAGAACUUACUCUCAUAAAACCACAGCCAGCGAGUUCUCAGAGACACAAUAAUGCACCUUAAUUAUGAGUUUAAAAGCUCUUGUCUUGUGAAAUGUAAUCGAUCCACAGAAAAAUCAUAAAGUAUACAUGUAAUAGCUUAAUGACUUAUAAAUGAAGAUCUGUAUACUUCCCACUCGAAAAACGGAAUAUUGCAGGAUUUGAGUACACAACCCGUACCUUUCCAACGACAGCCUCCCUCCCACCAGAGCUUCUGCUGAGUUCACUUGAAAUCACUUCCUUGCAUUUAUUUAUACUUUUAUUACCUUGAGGUGCAUCCCUAACCAUUCUAGUUCGAUUUUGCCUGGUGUUUGAACUUUAUAUUAAUGGAAUCAUAGGACAUAAUUCUUAUAUCUCUGGUUUCUUUCAUUCAACUUUGUGUCUGCGAAAUGUAUCCAUGUUGCAUGCAACGGGGGCUCAUUCAUCGCUGGUUACUGAUUCACUGCAUGAGUAUGACACAGUUUAUUAACCAUUUCACUGCUGAUGAACAUUUGAUCAUUUCUAGUUUGGGAAUAUUAUUAAUAAUUUUUGAACCUUCUUAUUUGUGUGCCCUGAUGUACAUGGACAUGCAUUUUAGGGGUGUAUACUUAGGGAAAUUGCCGGUUCAUGAGUAACACCUAUCUUCAGGUAUUACUUUUUGUGCCCUUUUAUGCUGAACUACAAUUUACGUGCAAUACCAAUCAUUCAUAUUAAGUGUACAACUCAGUGAGUUUAGACAACUGGACACCUUGUUGUGAGUCACCACCACCGAGAUGAUCCAGCACUGUCCCAACUCCCCCCAAGUUCUCCUUUGCAGGCACCCUCUCCCUCCAUUCUGGGCACAGGCAACCAUGAACCACUAUCUGUCACCGUAGCUUUAGUAUAAAAUUUCACAUACAUGGACUCAGGGAGCAUAGAGUCUUUCCUGUCUGGCUUCUUUCCGCUGGCAAAAUGCUUGGAGACUUUUCCACGUUGCUGCAUGAAUCAAUGGAUCAUUUGUUUUCGUGGCUGAGCAGAAUUCCACCAACAUUUGUUUACUCAUCCAUGAAAUGAUGGACAUUUGGUGUUUUUCCAUUGAGAUUGUUAUGAAUAAUGCUGCUAUUGUCAUUCAAGGACAAGUCUUCUGUGAACAUCUGUUUUCACUUCUCUUGGGUACAUCCUUAGAAGUGGUAUUGCUGGACUGUAUCAAAAGUUAAUAUUUAACUUUCAGGAAACUUACAAACUGUUUUCCAGAGUGGCUGUACCAUUUUGCAUUCCCAGACCGAAGUGUGAAAGCUCCAGAUGCCCCACGCCCUCACCAGCCCACGGUGUUGUCAGCCUUAAUAGUGCUGACCAUUCUGCCUGUUAAUAUGAUGAAUUACACUGAUUCAGUUUCAAAUGUCCAACCAAGCUUGCACUCCAGAGAUGAAGCCCACUUGAUCACAUGGAUUAUUCUUUUAAUAUAUGAUGGAUACGACUUGGCUGUUCUUUUGUUGAGGAUUUUUGUGUUUAUGUUAAUGAGGAUAUUAUUUGUAGUUUUCUUUUCUUGUAAUGUUUUUGUCUUUGUUCAGUGUCAGAGUAAUGCCAACUUCAUAAAGUGAGCUGGGAAGUA
rnacentral:lncRNA from 1 species